CACGUAGGGCGCAAGCGUUGUCCGGAAUUAUUGGGCGUAAAGAGCUUGUAGGUGGUUUGUCGCGUCUGCUGUGAAAAUCCCGAGGCUCAACCUCGGACUUGCAGUGGGUACGGGCAGACUAGAGUGUGGUAGGGGGAGACUGGAAUUCCUGGUGUAGCGGUGGAAUGCGCAGAUAUCAGGAGGAACACCGAUGGCGAAGGCAGGGUCUCUGGGCCAUUACUGACACUGAGAAGCGAAAGCAUGG
rnacentral:rRNA from 1 species